rnacentral:rRNA from 1 species
AUACGGAGGGUGCAAGCGUUACUCGGAAUCACUGGGCGUAAAGCGCGCGCAGGCGGUCUCUUAAGUUGGAUGUGAAAGCAUACGGCUCAACCGUAGAACUGCAUCCAAAACUAUUAGACUAGAGUGUGGGAGAGGAAGAUGGAAUUAGUUGUGUAGGGGUAAAAUCCGUAGAGUUAACUAGGAAUACCAAAAGCGAAGGCAAUCUUCUGGAACACUACUGACGCUGAGGCGCGAAAGCGUGGGGAGCAAACAGGAUUAGAAACCCUAGUAGUCC